GAUGAACGCUGGCGGCGUGCCUAAUACAUGCGAGUCGAGCGAACGGACGAGAAGCUUGCUUCUCUGAUGUUAGCGGCGGACGGGUGAGUAACACGUGGAUAACCUACCCAUAAGACUGGGAUAACUUCGGGAAACCGUAGCUAAUACCGGAUAAUAUUUUGAACCGCAUGGUUCAAAAGUGAAAGACGGUCUUGCUGUCACUUAUAGAUGGAUCCGCGCUGCAUUAGCUAGUUGGUAAGGUAACGGCUUACCAAGGCAACGAUGCAUAGCCGACCUGAGAGGGUGAUCGGCCACACUGGAACUGAGACACGGUCCAGACUCCUACGGGAGGCAGCAGUAGGGAAUCUUCCGCAAUGGGCGAAAGCCUGACGGAGCAACGCCGCGUGAGUGAUGAAGGUCUUCGGAUCGUAAAACUCUGUUAUUAGGGAAGAACAUAUGUGUAAGUAACUGUGCACAUCUUGACGGUACCUAAUCAGAAAGCCACGGCUAACUACGUG
rnacentral:rRNA from 1 species